GUGACUGAGUCGUCCUGAGUGGGACUGUUAGGCUGAACGCCAGGCGAGUAAUAGUGUUGCCUCACCAGAGAAUAACUGAGGCUCAUUUUCCAUUGUGCUGUGCCACAGUUAUCAAUCGCCUCGCAAAAGCAACGUGCCCCAGUCACGAACGCUAAUCAGCCCCCAAGAACAGUCCUGCAGUACACGCACGCAUACACACACACACACAGCCCUGUAAAAAAAAUGUCUGUAUUUGAGCUCUUGAUUUAUUUCACAUUUCCCAUCUGCCCAAACAUUUGUUCAGAUACGUGUGUUUCUCUCCAGGCCUGGCUUGGUCCACCACUUGAAAGAAUGGUGAACGUGUCCUUCAGCUGGUUUCAGGCUCCCAGUCUAAACCCGGUUGUGCCUGAGCACGACUUCAGUAUGCGCGGCUGGAGUUCCCCUGGCCUGGCUCCAGCCUCCCCAAUCCUCCCUCCCUCCUUCCCUCUCUGCCUCUCUCCUCUCCGGAGGAUUCUACCGCAUCCUCUUUUAAGACUCCAAAAAAUGGCAGCUAUUUUUUCCCCUUUUCUUUUCUUUUCUUUUUUUUUCUGGCUCUUUCAACAUCUCAUUUAUUUAUUUUCCUCUCCGCAGCAGGUUUCUUUGCGUUCGGCUCUGACCCUUUCACCUUUGGCCGCGGUUCUCUCUGACUCACUUCCUCUUCCUGUAGUCAGUGGGCCUGAUCCAGUUAUCUUACCUAUUUAGUCCGUUAAUCGUUUAACCAGCACUCGUUUGUUUACAUUGAUAACAGAAGAAAGAGGCUAAAAAAGAAACAAAACUACAAAGUGACUUCAAAACCAUGUUAGUGGUGGCCUAAGGUCCCCAAAGGAAAAGGAAGGAAGCCCCCAGUGCGCUGCAGAGCGAGCAGAGAAGGCUGCGUGAGUGAGAUUAGUGCCCAGAUGAAUUACAGAAGGCCACAGUAAACAUCAUCUUAUUACUUUAUCAUUUUACUUUAUGCUACGGGUGCAUAGUAGACAAUCUGCAAACCCUUACUGAUACUAAUACUGCUAUUACCAAUCAUUGCAUAAAUACUCCACAAGUGUUAUGUAAGAUGAUUGAUGACUCCCAUCUACAUGUUUACUGUUGAUUAAGCACAAUCUGAUUUGCAUUUGUCAUCGUCAGUGUC
ensembl:lncRNA